rnacentral:rRNA from 1 species
GAUGAACGCUGGCGGCGUGCCUAAUACAUGCAAGUCGAGCGAACAGAUAAGGAGCUUGCUCCUUUGACGUUAGCGGCGGACGGGUGAGUAACACGUGGGUAACCUACCUAUAAGACUGGAAUAACUCCGGGAAACCGGGGCUAAUGCCGGAUAACAUUUAGAACCGCAUGGUUCUAAAGUGAAAGAUGGUUUUGCUAUCACUUAUAGAUGGACCCGCGCUGUAUUAGCUAGUUGGUAAGGUAACGGCUUACCAAGGCAACGAUACGUAGCCGACCUGAGAGGGUGAUCGGCCACACUGGAACUGAGACACGGUCCAGACUCCUACGGGAGGCAGCAGUAGGGAAUCUUCCGCAAUGGGCGAAAGCCUGACGGAGCAACGCCGCGUGAGUGAUGAAGGUCUUCGGAUCGUAAAACUCUGUUAUUAGGGAAGAACAAAUGUGUAAGUAACUGUGCACGUCUUGACGGUACCUAAUCAGAAAGCCACGGCUAACUACGUG